GGGUCAGUAGGUUGGUCGUGCCACCGGUACGUACUGGUCUCACUGAUUCCUCCUUCCUGAAGAGCCGUAAUGCCAUUAAUUUGGUGUUGCGGGGAAACAGGACUGUUACUUUGAAAAAAUUAGAGUGUUUAACGCAAGCUAACGCUUGAAUACAUUAGCAUGGAAUAAUGAAAUAGGACGAUCGAUCCUAUUUUGUUGGUUUCUAGAAUUGACGUA
rnacentral:rRNA from 1 species